UACGUAGGUGACCAGCGUUGUCCGGAUUUACUGGGCGUAAAGAGCGCGCAGGCGGUCGUUCAAGUCGAGUGUGAAAGCCCCCGGCUCAACUGGGGAGGGUCACUCGAUACUGAUCGACUUGAAGGCAGGAGAGGGAAGCGGAAUUCCCGGUGUAGUGGUGAAAUGCGUAGAUAUCGGGAGGAACACCAGUGGCGAAGGCGGCUUCCUGGACCAGAACUGACGAUCAGGCUCGAAAGCGUGGGGAGCAAACAGG
rnacentral:rRNA from 1 species